rnacentral:rRNA from 1 species
AUACGUAGGGUGCGAGCGUUGUCCGGAAUUACUGGGCGUAAAGAGCUCGUAGGUGGUUUGUCGCGUCGUCUGUGAAAUUCCGGGGCUUAACUCCGGGCGUGCAGGCGAUACGGGCAUAACUUGAGUACUGUAGGGGAGACUGGAAUUCCUGGUGUAGCGGUGAAAUGCGCAGAUAUCAGGAGGAACACCGGUGGCGAAGGGGGGUCUCUGGGCAGUAACUGACGCUGAGGAGCGAAAGCAUGGGUAGCGAACAGGAUUAGAUACCCUGGUAGUCCAUGCCGUAAACGGUGGGCGCUAGGUGUAGGGGUCUUCCACGACUUCUGUGCCGUAGCUAACGCAUUAAGCGCCCCGCCUGGGGAGUACGGCCGCUAGGCUAAAACUCAAAUGAAUUGACGGGG